UUGUGUAACAAUUUAAGCAUUCAUGUAUCUACAAGACAGUACUUAAGCACGUAAUUUAGUAUUCUGUAUCUCCUUUCCUUUUGUUUUCUCUUUUUAUUUUUCCCUUCCAUUAUAUAAAUUUGAAUCUCUCUUCCUCAUUUUGUCCUUGUCUGUCUUCUCUUCCCUUUUCUUUUUCAUCCCUCCCUUUCCUUUCCUGUCUUGUCUUUCCUCCUUCUCAUAGUUUCUCAGUAUCAUCUUGUUAUUCCUAUCAGUUUCUCUUCCUCAUUCCUAAUCUCUCUUCUGUGCCACAUUCUGUCACUUCUCUUCCCCAGACCCAUAAUCUCACUACUUUUUGGUAACCAGUGCUCUUACUCUUUCCUUUUGCUUCUAAUCUUGCCAAUCCACCCUCCACCCUAUGAUGAUUUAGCAAAGGUGUUUGAGUCAAGAGGGAAAAGGGAAAAAAGGAAAAUCAACACAAACAAGAAAAGACUCAAAGGGGAGAAAAAAAACCUUAAUCUAGGUUUAAAGUAAAAUGUAGUCCUCAAUAAUAAUGAAAGAAAUAAAGCAUAUCGCAUGAAAAGAUGAAACAGAAGUCCAUGCAGUACCUUCACAUAAGAUAAGAAAAGCCAUAUGCAAUGAGAAACGUCAUCUCACCAGUACUGGAUGAAAGACUCUCACCAUUUUGAAUUCUCCUCAGCAGAGAGCACCGAAGAGUCUGGGAGACAGAAGAAAAGGAAGAAGCAGGGGAAACAGCUUCAGAAAGCUCUGUCUGGGAGUUACAAGACUGGGUAUGAAUUGUAUUCCAAAUCCUGAUUUCCAGAUGGCAUAGAUAUAAAUCUAUUGUGGAUAACAAAUUAUUACUACAACAGUCUUCUUGUUUUUAUACUGAAAUUACAUUCACGUGCUGCAACUAAUCAAUUUCAGGAAAAUAAAUUAUCAAUUUAAAUAUGACCUGCAAAUAAUUUCUAUAAAUGCAGCAGUGACAGUCAGGGU